rnacentral:rRNA from 1 species
GAUAAACGCUAGCGGCAGGCUUAACACAUGCAAGUCGAGGGGCAGCAUAGAUUGUAGCAAUACAAUUGGUGGCGACCGGCGCACGGGUGCGUAACGCGUAUGCAACCUACCCGUCACAGGGGGAUAAUCCGGAGAAAUCUGGUCUAAUACCCCAUAACAUAUGGAUCGGCAUCGGUUCAUGUUGAAAUUUUCGGAGGUGACGGAUGGGCAUGCGUAGCAUUAGCUUGUUGGUGAGGUAACGGCUCACCAAGGCGACGAUGCUUAGGGGGACUGAGAGGUUUUCCCCCGACACUGGUGCUGAGUCACGGACCAGACUCCUGCGAGAGGCAGCAAUGAGGAAUAUUGGUCAAUGGGCGCAAGCCUGAACCAGCCAUGCCGCGUGCAGGAUGACGGCUCUAUGAGUUGUAAACUGCUUUUGUACGAGGGUAGAGUGGGUUACGUGUAACCUUUUGAAAGUAUCGUACGAAUAAGGAUCGGCUAACUCCGUGCCAGCCGCCGCAGUAA